AUGUAUCGCAACUCCUUCAGCAGUUUGGCUAUUGUGGACAUUGUUGCUAUGAACAUUGGGGUGCUGGUUCCCCCUCAUGUCACUCCAUCUGCAUCUUUGGGUCUCAUCAAGACUUACCUCUGUGUGAAAUUCUCCUGGACUUCUGGAACUACUCCUGAACUUCUGGAACUACCACAAAUCUUAGACAUCACAUUUUUCCUUUUCAGUAAAAAGAAAACCAAAGCCUGAGAAAAUAAAGUGAGUUUUUA
rnacentral:lncRNA from 1 species